rnacentral:lncRNA from 1 species
UUCGCACCCCGUUUAUUUAUCAGCAGACUUAUGACGUCGGCGGUCGAUUUACGUCACGGGACAUGACGUCAUCACUGCAAGCUACGUGCUACGUGAAAGAGACAUAUAUGAUGCUGUACUGACAUUGGUGGCGCACAUCAACAAAUGCUCCGAGCUGUUUUGUGUGUUUAUUGUUUCACAUAGGUGAUUUAUCGCUGCUUAGGGCCAGCGGCCCAUCGAACAGCCUUGAGAAGACCGCCGCACGCUGUUUGCAGUCCGUCGACCUCCUGUCUUCAACGGACGGACGCCCUCGGUCCCACUCAGCAAUUGACUGAAGCCUAUCGCGCCGAUAUGCUCGCUCAUCUUCCAUCCUCGCCCUGCCUGAUGGUUUCGACGACCCGGGCUGUGGUCCCUGAGGUUCGGAACCCGUCUCGCUGGCCUGCCAGCAGGAGGCCUGGCGCUCGUCGCAGACGAGCGCUGCAGUGUGGCCA